rnacentral:rRNA from 1 species
GUGGGGGAUCUUAGACAAUGGGCGCAAGCCUGAUCUAGCCAUGCCGCGUGAGCGAUGAAGGCCUUAGGGUUGUAAAGCUCUUUCAGGGGGGAAGAUAAUGACGGUACCCCCAGAAGAAGCCCCGGCUAACUCCGUGCCAGCAGCCGCGGUAAUACGGAGGGGGCUAGCGUUGUUCGGAAUUACUGGGCGUAAAGCGCACGUAGGCGGACCAGAAAGUCAGGGGUGAAAUCCCGGGGCUCAACCCCGGAACUGCCUUUGAAACUCCUGGUCUUGAGGUCGAGAGAGGUGAGUGGAAUUCCGAGUGUAGAGGUGAAAUUCGUAGAUAUUCGGAGGAACACCAGUGGCGAAGGCGGCUCACUGGCUCGAUACUGACGCUGAGGUGCGAAAGCGUGGGGAGCAAACAGGAUUAGAAACCCGUGUAGUCC